AAGAGGGGGGGUAAAUUCCUUUUAAGGUUAAAUCCGGGGGAAAGCCGAAAAGGACCCAGUUCGGGAAGGAAAAAAGGAAAACCCUUUGAAAAGAGAAGGAAACAGCCCCGUGAAAAUUGUUGAAAGGGAAAGGUAUUGCCCCCGACAUGGGGAUUGCGCACCGCUGCCUCUCGUGGGCGGCGCUCUGGGCUUUCCCUGGGCCAGCAUCGGUUCUUGCUGCAGGAGAAGGGGUUCUGGAACGUGGCUCUUCGGAGUGUUAUAGCCAGGGCCAGAUGCUGCGUGCGGGGACCGAGGACUGCGGCCGUGUAGGUCACGGAUGCUGGCAGAAGGGCGCAACACCGCCCGUCUUGAAACACGGAC
rnacentral:rRNA from 1 species